rnacentral:misc_RNA from 2 species
CCCAACUAUCCCUAUUAAUCAUUACGGUGGUCCUAGAAACCAACAAAAUAGAACCAUGCCGUCCUAUUUUAUUAUUCCAUGCUAAUGUAUUCAAGCAAAAAUGCCUGCUUUAAACACUCUAAUUUUUUCAAAGUAAAGGUCCUGGUUCCCCGCGGCAUCCAAUUAAGGACAUCGCGGUUCUCCAGAAGGUGAGAAAUUGACUGCACCAGUUCAUACCCCGUGAGGCACGACCGAUGCGCCAAUCCCGAAAUUCAACUACGAGCUUUUUAACUGCAACAACUUUAAUAUACGCUAUUGGAGCUGGAAUUACCGCGGCUGCUGGCACCAGACUUGCCCUCCAA